rnacentral:rRNA from 1 species
UACGAAGGGGGCUAGCGUUGCUCGGAAUUACUGGGCGUAAAGCGCGCGUAGGCGGAUCGUUAAGUCGGGGGUGAAAUCCUGGAGCUCAACUCCAGAACUGCCUUUGAUACUGGCGAUCUUGAGUCCGGGAGAGGUGAGUGGAACUCCGAGUGUAGAGGUGAAAUUCGUAGAUAUUCGCAAGAACACCAGUGGCGAAGGCGGCUCACUGGCCCGGUACUGACGCUGAGGUGCGAAAGCGUGGGGAGCAAACAGG